GACGAACGCUGGCGGCGUGCCUAAUACAUGCAAGUCGAACGCAGUGGGGACGGGUGAGUAACACGUGGGUAACCUCCCAUCAGAGGGGAUAACACUUGGAAACAGGUGCUAAACCGAUAUUGAUGGGUGGACGCGGGGUGGAUUUGCUAUGUGGUGAGGUAACGGCUCACCAAGGCCACGAUGCGUAGCCGCCCUGAGAGGGUGAUCAGCCCCACUGGAACUGAGACACGGCCCAGACUCCUACGGGAGGCAGCAGUAGGGAAUCUUCGGCAAUGGGCGAAAGUCUGACCGAGCAACGCCGCGUGAGUGAAGAAGGUUUUCGGAUCGUAAAACUCUGUUGUUAGAGAAGCGGUAUCUAACCAGAAAGCCACGGCUAACUACGUGCCAGCAGCCGCGGUAAUUC
rnacentral:rRNA from 1 species